rnacentral:tRNA from 1 species
UGGCUAAGUCGGUAGAGUGUGUGAUUCUUGAUCUCAGGGUUGUGAGUUCAAGCCUCAC